GCACUCGCUGCAGCAGCACACAUACUAAAAUUGGAACAAUACAGAGAAGAUUAGAAUGGCCCCUGAGCAAGGAUGACAUGUAAAUUCGUGAAGCAUUCCUUAUUAAA
ensembl:snRNA U6 U6 spliceosomal RNA